AUGGGAGGAGGCAAUGAUGGUCAUGGGUACCCACCCGGUGGCCAGGGGGGAUACCCUCCGGCAGGGUACCCGCCGCAGCAGGGAGGUUACCCUCCACAGCAAGGAGGUUACCCUCCACAGCAAGGAUACCCGCCUGCACCUGGAGCUUACCCACCUGCACCUGGGGCAUACCCUCCUGCACCUGGGGCGUACCCUCCUGCACCUGGAGCGGGAGGCCCUGACGGGGAGAAGGGGCUCCUCUCCAACAUCAUGCAUGGUGUUGCCGGUGCUCAUGGUGGUGGUCAUGGCUACCCAUCUGGUGGCCACGGGUACCCCCCGCAGCAGCAUGGAUACCCUCAGCAAGGCUACCCUCCUCAGCAUGGCUACCCACCGCAGCAGCAUGGCUACCCUCCACAGCAGCAUGGCUACCCCCCUGCUGGCUACCCUGGCUCAUCUGGUCACAGUGGUAGCCAUGGAGGAGGAGGCAUGGGCAUGGGUGGCAUGCUGGCUGGAGGAGCAGCAGCUGCUGCCGCCGCUUACGGAGCACACAAGCUUUCUCACGGCGGCCACGGUGGAGGUGGACAUAUGAUGGGAGGCAUGAUGGGCGGCCACGGAGGCUACGGCGGCGGGUACGGCCACCACGGCGGCAAGUUCAAGCACGGGAAGCACGGCCACGGCAAGUUCAAGCACGGCAAGCAUGGGAAGCACGGCAUGUUCGGCGGCGGCGGCAAGUUCAAGAAGUGGAAGUAA
rnacentral:rRNA from 1 species